UACGUAGGGGGCAAGCGUUGUCCGGAAUUAUUGGGCGUAAAGAGCUCGUAGGCGGUUCGUCGCGUCGGCUGUGAAAACCCGGGGCUCAACCUCGGGCCUGCAGUCGAUACGGGCGGACUGGAGUUCGGCAGGGGAGACUGGAAUUCCUGGUGUAGCGGUGAAAUGCGCAGAUAUCAGGAGGAACACCGGUGGCGAAGGCGGGUCUCUGGGCCGAUACUGACGCUGAGGAGCGAAAGCGUGGGGAGCGAACAGG
rnacentral:rRNA from 1 species